rnacentral:pre_miRNA from 14 species
UUUUAAGUGGAGUGUAACAGGCUCACACUGAUAGUAUUGAAAGACCCCUGGAGCGGGGAGACCCUCACUCAAGUCUCGGGAUGAUGCGACCCCCCAAGAACUCACGUGAGACC